UAAAAUUUGAUUCUGGUUUUUGAAAAUUUAUAAUGAUAUUAUUUAUUUUUAAUUUAUUUAGUAGGCAAUAAAUAUUUACCUCGGCAAUUUAUCGUCCGUAAAAAAUGAGUUCCAGAAUAAUCGGCUAUACUUAUUAGGUCUUGUACUUUAAAUAGUUUUAAUUACAACAGUUAUUUUAAAUUUUAAAAAUUUUAGGUAGAAUUAGAAUUUUUUUUUAAUAAUAUAGUUGUAAUAUUAAAUUUUGAUAAAUGAAUUAGAUUAGUACCUAAUUAAACAAAAAUUAAAAAUACAGAAGUAAAGUUGUAUUUAAACUGAAAGAAUACUGGCAGGUUAUCUAAAUAAUCUUUGGAGGUUGAGUAUUAAUUGAUAACCCUCAUUAACUACCUUAUAUUUAGUCACGUGUAUGAUCGUUUAUUUUAUUCUUUAGGAUUAAAAGUAAAAGUUUUUCUUAUAAAAACAGAUAUAUAUCCGGUUUAAUAUAAGGUUAAACUUGACCUACAAUAUAGUAAUAUGUAAAUAAUAAUGUAGUUAUUAUUUGAAAAUGUAAAAGAGAGUAAAGAAGUUUUUAUAUCUUCUUGAAGGAUAUCUAGUAACGGUUCAAAUCAUCCAUCAAUUGCCCACAGGGGAGUAAGUUGUAGUAAAGUAAGUUUAGGUGAACCUGAACUUAAAAAU
rnacentral:ncRNA from 1 species